UCAGAAUCGGAACAGGAAACAGGACAGCCGUAGUAGUCCUAUCUGGACAUGCCUGACAAUGCUGUGCUACUCAGCUUCAACCCUCCCUAAUUUGUAUGUUUUAUUUAUCAGACCGAGGUCCCGUCAGACAGCUCCGUCCGGAGCACAGCGUCCUCUUCUCCCUCUGCCGGCCCCAGUGGGUUCAACCUUUGCAGGUUCUGGCGCCGAGACAGAAGGGGCAGUGCCACUCAGAAUCUGGUAAAGGUUUUCUCCACUGAUGCCUCAGAAAGAGAGAGUUCGUCAAUCUCAUCUCCGUAGCACUUUCAAGCUCUUACAGUCUUUUGGGAUUUGACUUGAGGGACAGUCCACAGAAAGAUACGAUUGCAUCUUCUGAAGAAAACCAAGCAGGUGAAGCUUUUCUUGGCAUCAAGUUGGCAGAAUGCAUUUCACCUGCUGCUUGUCGGUCUGGUAAAGAGAUCUGGUCACCAACCUCAGGAAUCAACACACAGUAAAGGUAAAAACAUGGGACAUUAUUCUUCCUCUCCCUUUAACCGACUCUCUUUCUUGUCCUUCCCCACAUUGUAUACAUUCUACCUGCCUCCUUCUGUGCCCUCUUACCCAUGUACCAUCUGUUUUUUCCCAGUCCUACCAGGUGAAGAUGCCUGUUUCCCCCCUCUUUCUGCUCUGUUACCUGCCCUGCCCCAUUUUCUGUUCUCCUACACUAAUUUAGCUGCUUUUCUAUCCCGUCAGAACUUCUGCCCU